rnacentral:rRNA from 1 species
UAUGCUUCUUCGGGAGCAGAGACCGGCGCACGGGUGCGUAACGCGUAUGCAAUCUACCUUUCACAAAGGGAUAGCCCAGAGAAAUUUGGAUUAAUACCUUAUAGUAUAUAUGAAUGGCAUCAUUUAUAUAUUAAAGAUUUAUCGGUGAAAGAUGAGCAUGCGUCCCAUUAGCUAGUUGGUAAGGUAACGGCUUACCAAGGCAACGAUGGGUAGGGGUCCUGAGAGGGAGAUCCCCCACACUGGUACUGAGACACGGACCAGACUCCUACGGGAGGCAGCAGUGAGGAAUAUUGGACAAUGGGCGCAAGCCUGAUCCAGCCAUGCCGCGUGCAGGAUGACGGUCCUAUGGAUUGUAAACUGCUUUUAUACGAGAAGAAACCCUCCGACGUGUCGGAGCUUGACGGUAUCGUAAGAAUAAGGAUCGGCUAACUCCGUGCCAGCAGCCGCGGUAAUACGGAGGAUCCAAGCGUUAUCCGGAAUCAUUGGGUUUAAAGGGUCCGUAGGCGGUCAGAUAAGUCAGUGGUGAAAGCCCAUCGCUCAACGGUGGAACGGCCAUUGAUACUGUCUGACUUGAAUUAUUAGGAAGUAACUAGAAUAUGUAGUGUAGCGGUGAAAUGCUUAGAGAUUACAUGGAAUACCAAUUGCGAAGGCAGGUUACUACUAAUGGAUUGACGCUGAUGGACGAAAGCGU